rnacentral:rRNA from 1 species
GGUUAAGCGACUAAGCGUACACGGUGGAUGCCCUGGCAGUCAGAGGCGAUGAAGGACGUGCUAAUCUGCGAAAAGCGUCGGUAAGGUGAUAUGAACCGUUAUAACCGGCGAUGUCCGAAUGGGGAAACCCAGUGCAAUUCGUUGCACUAUCGUUAACUGAAUACAUAGGUUAACGAGGCGAACCGGGGGAACUGAAACAUCUAAGUACCCCGAGGAAAAGAAAUCAACCGAGAUUCCCCAGUAGCGGCGAGCGAACGGGGAGCAGCCCAGAGUCUGAAUCAGCUUGUGUGUUAGUGGAACGGUCUGGAAAGUCCGACGGUACAGGGUGAUAGUCCCGUACACCAAAAUGCACAGGUUGUGAACUCGAAGAGUAGGGCGGGACACGUGGUAUCCUGUCUGAAUAUGGGGGGACCAUCCUCCAAGGCUAAAUACUCCUGACUGACCGAUAGUGAACCAGUACCGUGAGGGAAAGGCGAAAAGAACCCCGGCGAGGGGAGUGAAAAAGAACCUGAAACCGUGUACGUACAAGCAGUGGGAGCACCUUCGGGUGUGACUGCGUACCUUUUGUAUAAUGGGUCAGCGACUUAUAUUCUGUAGCAAGGUUAACCGUAUAGGGGAGCCGCAGGGAAACCGAGUCUUAACUGGGCGUUAAGUUGCAGGGUAUAGACCCGAAACCCGGUGAUCUAGCCAUGGGCAGGUUGAAGGUUGGGUAACACUAACUGGAGGACCGAACCGACUAAUGUUGAAAAAUUAGCGGAUGACUUGUGGCUGGGGGUGAAAGGCCAAUCAAACCGGGAGAUAGCUGGUUCUCCCCGAAAGCUAUUUAGGUAGCGCCUCGUGAACUCAUCUUCGGGGGUAGAGCACUGUUUCGGCUAGGGGGUCAUCCCGACUUACCAACCCGAUGCAAACUACGAAUACCGAAGAAUGUUAUCACGGGAGACACACGGCGGGUGCUAACGUCCGUCGUGAAGAGGGAAACAACCCAGACCGCCAGCUAAGGUCCCAAAGUCAUGGUUAAGUGGGAAACGAUGUGGGAAGGCACAGACAGCCAGGAUGUUGGCUUAGAAGCAGCCAUCAUUUAAAGAAAGCGUAAUAGCUCACUGGUCGAGUCGGCCUGCGCGGAAGAUGUAACGGGGCUAAACCAUGCACCGAAGCUGCGGCAGCGACACUAUGUGUUGUUGGGUAGGGGAGCGUUCUGUAAGCCUGCGAAGGUGUGCUGUGAGGCAUGCUGGAGGUAUCAGAAGUGCGAAUGCUGACAUAAGUAACGAUAAAGCGGGUGAAAAGCCCGCUCGCCGGAAGACCAAGGGUUCCUGUCCAACGUUAAUCGGGGCAGGGUGAGUCGACCCCUAAGGCGAGGCCGAAAGGCGUAGUCGAUGGGAAACAGGUUAAUAUUCCUGUACUUGGUGUUACUGCGAAGGGGGGACGGAGAAGGCUAUGUUAGCCGGGCGACGGUUGUCCCGGUUUAAGCAUGUAGGCUGGUUGUCCAGGCAAAUCCGGAUAAUCAAGGCUGAGGUGUGAUGACGAGGCACUACGGUGCUGAAGUAACAAAUGCCCUGCUUCCAGGAAAAGCCUCUAAGCAUCAGGUAACAUUAAAUCGUACCCCAAACCGACACAGGUGGUCAGGUAGAGAAUACCAAGGCGCUUGAGAGAACUCGGGUGAAGGAACUAGGCAAAAUGGUGCCGUAACUUCGGGAGAAGGCACGCUGGUGUGUAGGUGAAGUCCCUGCGGAUGGAGCUGAGACCAGUCGAAGAUACCAGCUGGCUGCAACUGUUUAUUAAAAACACAGCACUGUGCAAACACGAAAGUGGACGUAUACGGUGUGACGCCUGCCCGGUGCCGGAAGGUUAAUUGAUGGGGUUAUCCGUAAGGAGAAGCUCUUGAUCGAAGCCCCGGUAAACGGCGGCCGUAACUAUAACGGUCCUAAGGUAGCGAAAUUCCUUGUCGGGUAAGUUCCGACCUGCACGAAUGGCGUAAUGAUGGCCAGGCUGUCUCCACCCGAGACUCAGUGAAAUUGAACUCGCUGUGAAGAUGCAGUGUACCCGCGGCAAGACGGAAAGACCCCGUGAACCUUUACUAUAGCUUGACACUGAACAUUGAGCCUUGAUGUGUAGGAUAGGUGGGAGGCUUUGAAGCGUGGACGCCAGUCUGCGUGGAGCCAACCUUGAAAUACCACCCUUUAAUGUUUGAUGUUCUAACGUUGGCCCCUGACCGGGGUUGCGGACAGUGUCUGGUGGGUAGUUUGACUGGGGCGGUCUCCUCCCAAAGCGUAACGGAGGAGCACGAAGGUUAGCUAAUCCUGGUCGGACAUCAGGAGGUUAGUGCAAUGGCAUAAGCUAGCUUGACUGCGAGCGUGACGGCGCGAGCAGGUGCGAAAGCAGGUCAUAGUGAUCCGGUGGUUCUGAAUGGAAGGGCCAUCGCUCAACGGAUAAAAGGUACUCCGGGGAUAACAGGCUGAUACCGCCCAAGAGUUCAUAUCGACGGCGGUGUUUGGCACCUCGAUGUCGGCUCAUCACAUCCUGGGGCUGAAGUAGGUCCCAAGGGUAUGGCUGUUCGCCAUUUAAAGUGGUACGCGAGCUGGGUUUAGAACGUCGUGAGACAGUUCGGUCCCUAUCUGCCGUGGGCGCUGGAGAAUUGAGGGGGGCUGCUCCUAGUACGAGAGGACCGGAGUGGACGCAUCACUGGUGUUCGGGUUGUCAUGCCAAUGGCACUGCCCGGUAGCUAAAUGCGGAAGAGAUAAGUGCUGAAAGCAUCUAAGCACGAAACUUGCCCCGAGAUGAGUUCUCCCUGAGACUUUAAGUCUCCUGAAGGAACGUUAAAGACGAUGACGUUGAUAGGCCGGGUGUGUAAGCGCAGCGAUGCGUUGAGCUAACCGGUACUAAUGAACCGUGAGGCUUAACCUU